CCCUUAGAUGUUCUGGGCCGCACGCGCGUUACACUGAUGAAUUCAACGAGCACUAACCUGUGCCGAAAGGUUCGGGUAAUCUUGUGAAAUUUCAUCGUGAUGGGGAUUGAUUAUUGCAAUUUUUAAUCAUAAACGAGGAAUGCCUAGUAAGCGUGAGUCAUCAGCUCACGUUGAUUACGUCCCUGCCCUUUGUACACACCGCCCGUCGCUCCUACCGAUUGAAUGUGCCAGUGAAAAGUUCGGAUUGGAGAUAGGAAACGGCAACGUAUCCUAUUUCCGAGAAAAUCUUUAAACUUUCCCAUUUAGAGGAAGGAGAAGUCGUAACA
rnacentral:rRNA from 1 species